UAAAUUGAGAGUUUGAUCCUGGCUCAGGAUGAACGCUGGCGGCGUGCCUAAUACAUGCAAGUCGAACGAAACUUC
rnacentral:rRNA from 1 species